rnacentral:rRNA from 1 species
UACAGAGGUCCCAAGCGUGGUUCGGAUUCACUGGGCGUAAAGGGUGCGUAGGCGGUCGGGUAAGUCUGAUGUGAAAUCUCACAGCUUAACUGUGAAACUGCAUUGGAUACUAUCCGGCUCGAGGAAUGGAGGGGAGACUGGAAUACUUGGUGUAGCAGUGAAAUGCGCAGAUAUCAGGAGGAACACCGGUGGCGAAGGCGGGACUCUGGGCCGAUACUGACGCUGAGGAGCGAAAGCGUGGGGAGCAAACAGG